rnacentral:lncRNA from 1 species
CACCAUUCACCGCCUUCUGUCCUCCCAGCAGCAACCCCAAAACUAGAAGCACAGCUGCACAAAGUAGCCUGAGAAAAUCCAUGGCAGAUUGAUGAUUACAACACCACUUGGAUUUAAAUUGGCACAAAAGUGUUUACAGUGACCGACAACAAAAAUAUCGUUGUGACGGUAUCCCAAUUACUCGACGUAGUUUUUAGCUUUUACGCAUGACAGUACGUCAUCGGAUUGGAUUGCAUGGAAGAUC